rnacentral:tRNA from 1 species
GGCCGUGUAGCUCAACCCGGUAGAGCGUGAGCUCGUAGGCUCAAGGUGUGGGUUCAAAUCCCUCCACGGCCU